rnacentral:lncRNA from 1 species
CGAGUGGUAUCUGGCUGUGAGCCUCAAGGAGUCGGUGAGGGAAACAGGUGCUGGAGGCAUCCGGGCUGCUAUGACCAGACCAAUGGCCAAUGCUAUGGGGCUAAGUAGUGGAGACUCUGGAUGGCCUGUAGGCUUGGUGGGCACCCGAUGGCUCCUAUGUAUGACAUGUAUGACAUCUAACACAUCCCUGAAAAAAAGCCAUGUGGGUCCCGUCAGGGCCCGAUACAAAAGGGCUGAAGAGCAGCAACCAGCUUUGGACAACAACAUGCAUGAAGCGAGACUUAGCACAGCAGAGGGACAACCACAUACUGG